GCAAUUUUGCCAAAUUACAUAACAAGCUCAUUUUUACUAAUCCAUUUGGUUUGUGUAAUCAUGUUUAGUAGCUGGAUUAACAAAGGGUAUAAGAGCUUAAUCAUAACUGAAUUCCACAUCCACAAUCACAAUCUCAAAAUCAAAACCAAAAUUCUCUCAAUUCUCUCAAAUUCUCUUCACACUUUUUUCACUUUUUUGAUCGAAAUUCUUCAUUCUUUCUGUUUUCUUUGGUGCU
rnacentral:lncRNA from 1 species